GAAACUACUCCAUUUUUUUUGUCCUUUUCAUUUCUUCUUCAGGCACACACACAGAUCUGAGAGAAAAAAAUUUCUUCACUUCUUGACAUAGAUCUCACACUCACAGGGAAAGCGGGGAGGGGGGGGGGGGUUAUUCACUGAAAUUCCAGGAGAAAAAGGAUCACUCAGAUAAAACCUCUCCAGUUUUGUUUGAUAAAACUCCAUACACACAAUCCUUCUUCUCUUCCACACGAAAAUCUCGCACACACUCACGCACUCUCACGAAACACAUAGGUCGUCACUUUUUCCAUAAGCACACACACAGGUAUCCCACUAACACUCACAUACUACACAGAUAUAAAGAAAAAAGUUAGGGAAAUCAGUCGAUAGGUGAGGUUCGAGCUAUUUUGGAGUUCACCGUUCGAUUGACCCUGCCCCAAAAACUCAUCAGACUCACUUGAUUCGACUCAAUUUUGUGUAGUUUUGUGCGGGUUGUGGAGGUUAGUUGUGAAUGGUGUUGUAGGACGCUGCUGUUUUGUCUUGGUUUAGGGGUUUAGGUUCGGUGCGUCUCAAUUGGGUCACCAUAAUCAGUUUCAGGCAUCGACUGCUGGUACCGAGUUGGACCACGUUGCUGUUGAGGUUUUCUAUCGAGGAUUCUAAAUUCGGGGCUUCUUUAAUAUUAGUAUCAAUCGAAAUUAAUUAUCAGAAGGUGCAUUUCUUUAACCAAUUCUCUCUUCUUUAUCGUAAUUUGCUAAAUUGAUUAUGUUUGAGAUUGGAUGAUUUGGUGAAUGUUUGAUAUCACAAAUGUGAAAUUUGUAUAGUUACCAUGCUUUAAUUGUCGUUAUAUCUAUGUUGUUUAUAUUGGAUUCCAAGUUGGAAAUUGAUUUGAUAAUAGAAGCAUGUGUUAAUUGUGGGUUGAAAAGAGAAUUUGGAGUGGAAUUUAAAAAGUGAUAAAAAGAAUGAUUUUAGAUUAACUUGUUUUUUUUUUUUUUGGUUAAUUCGGAAUGAGUAUGAAUAUUGUAGGAAUGUAAUAGUAUCGUGAUAUGUUGAAAUAGAUAGGCAUUAUAGGUUCAGGUAGGCUAAUUUAGGAGUGACGUGUUGAUUGAAUGCUUUGAAUGUUUAAAUGUGUGUUUUGAAUGUUUUUCUAGUUAUGUUAUUUAAUUCAGAUUUAUUCAUUUGGCCAGGGAAUGCCCCGAGGUAUUUGUGUUUAUUUGCCGGGAAUGCCCCAAAGUAUUUUAUACCGGGAGGACAUUCGUGACAAUUUUUUUUAUAUUUUGUUUGUAUUUGUUUUAUUAUUACUGAGUGUCUACGUUCUAUGUGUUUAAAGUCUUUCUUUAUCUGUUACCGCUUUAUAUCUGACAUCAUUUGCAUAACCUGAGUCAAUUCUUUCUGCCACAAGUCUCGGAGUGCACGUCGUGUACACGAACUCUAGUUGAGUCACCCUUAUUUUAGGAGGGGGAACCGUCGGACGUAUGGAGUGGGUAGAAAGCUGUCGCAACCACUAUCGAGCAUACGCUCCCCCGAACAGCCUUGUUAGUGAACCCCAGCGUAGGUCAGCCUUUAGGUCAUACUUAUCUGCACCGUAUUGAGACCUAGAGGGGCUUAUUUGGUCAUUUGUAGGAGACUCACCUCUAAAGCAUCCCUUUGUGCUAAAUGUUACAUCUUUGAGGGUAACGUGGUCAUUUGACCGACUGAUUUGGGAAAAGCAUGUGUUAAAAGUAAGGUGUGUUUGAAAAAAAAAAGAGAGAAAAAAAGAAGUGAGUCAAAAAGGAUUUCGUAGCUUUUAGUGUUCUUUAUGACUUUUGUUUUUCCCAAUUCAAAAUUUUUAAAAGAUUUUUUACCUUUUGCACUGAUUUUAUCAAAAACAAAAACAUCAAAAAAAUUUUCUUUAUUUCUUUAGUAAGCUUCCAUAAUUUGAAAAUUUCAAAAAAGAAAAAAAGAUUUCUUUUAAUAGGAGUUUUAUAAAAGAAAAUUCAAAAUGGUAGAAGUUUUAUACAUUUCAUAUAGCGAAAGUAUCUCAAAAAAGAUUUUUCUUUCUUAUUUGUGGGUGUCAUGUGUCAAAUUAAAAACCCCAAAAAGAUUUUAUUUACAUUCUUUACUCGUUUGUAUUUAGUCAUGUCUCAAGUCAAGGUUUUGUUUGUUCUUUAAUACUAAUUUGUCCAAUCUGGAUAAACUACACAUUCCUGAUUCUCCUCUCUUGGGAAUGAGAUACGUCGGCUGCCUAUUGUUGGUUCGGAAAUCUUAUUUGAAAAUCAAAAAAUAUUUUCUUUAGAGUAGGUGUUUCACAUAUGCCUCGAAAACAAAACUAUAAAAAGAUUUUCAUUAAUAGUUGUAGGUUUCAUUUUUGGUUGAUUUUAUUUAAAAAAUCAAAAAAAGAUUUUCUUCUCCUCAUUUAGAGUAGCUGUUUUAUAUAUACCUUGAAAAGAAAAAAAUACACAAAGAUUUUCCUUAAUAAUCGUAGGUUUUAUUUUUGGUGGAUCUUAUUUGAAAAAUCCAAAAAGAUUUUCUUUACUCUUCAUUUAGAGUAGGUGUUUAUUUACAUCUUUAAAAAAACUAUAAAAAAAAGUUUUUUUUAGUAGUUUCAAGUUUCAUUUUUGUAUGAAAUUCAGAAUCGAAAACCUAAAAAAUAUUUUUCUGUUGUAAUCAUAGGUUUCAUUUUGUAUAAAGAUUUAAACCUGAAAAAUACAAAAAAAAAUUCGUCGAUUCUUUGGACAAUUUUAUUUUCUUUUCUUAUUAAAGUUUUGAGAAAAAGAAAGAAAAAAAAGUUUAAUAGGACAUUUUGGCAAGAUUUCACGAACUACGCACACCUGAUUCUUCUCUUUCGGGGGUGAGAUACGUAGGCGCCCUUUUAGGGUUUGAUGACUUUUUCAAAAAAAAAAAAGAAAGUGUUGAAUUCUAACGCAUUUGCUAUCUCUUGUCCAGUUAGUUUAUGGUGGUUGGUUUGUGACAGUUUGGCUGGUCCUCCAUAUUGUUCCAAGUCACAGAGAAAGUUAUGGCUAACAAGGAUACCGAGUUAGUUUCCACUAAUCAAAUAGGGAGUUCGGGGAAUGAGAAUGUAGGAGCUAAUGAAGAGAUUCGAAAAUUAAGGCAGCAAAUAAUAGAAAUGCAUCGAGCUUGGGCUAAUGGGUUGCCGCCUCCUCCCUUUCCCGCUGAUAAUCUGGAAUAUCUUUCUAGUUUGCCUCCAGUGUCACAUGAACAAUUUCCUAUGUUGGUCGACACGCCACAACAUGCAUCAGGACCUACUCUGGGCAACAAUAUCCAAACACUUUCAAUAUUCAUUUAUUUACUCCUCAACACAAAGCUACCACAUGCUUGGCUCCACCCACUCUUCAUGCUUUUGCAGCCCCAGUCCAGUCUGAAGCUCCUGAUUUUAAUGUCAAUCCAACGGUUGUAAUUCCUCACUUUACAAGCGACCCUGUAUUGAAUAUUUUUAGUGAUCAACAUUAAGCUCCCGAGCCCACAUUUAAGUCGACUGGUCCUUACAACUGCACUCAACCGCCUGAAUUUCCUCCUAACACUGAAAAUAGAUUAAUUUUAAAUAUUAAAAGACGCUCCUUACAUGGUGUUUCUUGUCAUACGCUUGAAGAUUUAUUUAUAAUUUCUACAUUUUAUUACUCAUUACAUGCAUAAAUUCAUAGAAUUUUAAUAGUUCUAAUGGAUCUGUAAAAUUUAACAAGAGACACCAUUAGAAUAUAGAUGUACCUAUUUUGGCCUUUGUUAGCAUCUUAUUUUCGUUUGUGUCAUUUGACUCUUUGUAUAAUUUUCGUUUCAUCAAUAAAAACCAAAAAGUCAUUGAAAAAAAAAAGAAUAUAUAUGAACCUAUAAGCUUAUUUCCACUAAUCUCAACAUGUUGCAUCUUGGUUAAGUUGCCAAUCUCUCGAGGUAAGAAUCCACUAAGAUUGUUCCUCCACAGUGACAAAAGUUGCAGCGAUGAGAUAUUGAAUAUGGAGAUCGGGACAGAGCCAGUAAUUUGAUUAUCCUCCAUGACUAACUCUACCAAAUUAAAAAGAUUUCCAAUUUCUUGUGGAAUUAUCCCUGAAAUGAAUGUAUAAAAAAAUGAAAUUCUGAAGUAAUAAGAUACAAUAGUGCUAGUAUCCAUAAUAUGGAACGUACCAGUGAAAUGGUUAGUUCUGAGAUCCAAUAUCUGCAGGUUACUCUAUCUUCCUUUUUUCCUAUGUAUUGAUCCAUCAAACUCAUUUUCCGAUUAACCCAACAGUUGAAGUUGUGAACAAUUUGAUAAGCUUGUAGGCAUAUGACCGCGAAGCUUGUUUUUGUAGACAUAAAGCCCUUUGAGUAUUGGGAGACCAUUGCAUAAACCAUUGGGAAGAAUUCCUGAUAAGGUAUUGCCACUAAAUGAAAUGAAUUCGAUCCUAGAAAUAUUGAAAAUUGUAAAUGGUAUAGAACCCAUAAUUUGAUUAAAUUCUAUGCCCAACCAGUUCAUGUUGUGAAGAUUGCCGAUCCAUUGUGGAAUGUUUCCUUGAAGUGAAUUAUAGAUAAUUUAACUAGUGUCAGCUAUAGAUUCACAGGGAUUUAUAUCGUUUGAUACGGAGUAUAGAUAUAUAUAUGGAAAAAUCUAUUUAAAUAUCAACGACUAUUAUUAGGUUUGAACCCGUAAUUUUGAUAUUACAAUGAAUUUAAUAUUGAAAAUCAUAGAAGUUGAACCCGUGAUUUUAAAGGAUUUCUCGGAGUAAACCCUGGCCUAGUUUGUUAUUAGUCAUGUGCAUGCCCUGAAGGUCUCUUAAGUUGCCAAUUGAUGUGGGGAUCGAUAGAUCCAAUUAAGUUGUUUUCAUUGAGAUAAUGACAUGUUAAGCUGGUUACUGUAACAAUUACAACGUAUAUGACAAGUAGGAACCAUGUGAGAAUAAAACAUCUUUGAUGCAGUGGUGGCAAUUUGACGGAACUCAUUGGGCGUAUCUUGCUCAUGAUGUUCAAACUAUGAUUAUAACUAACAACUAUUCCAAAACAGUAUAACUAAUUGCAGUUCUCUAAUAUGAAUUAGCAUACCCCCACCCCCACCCCGUCAAGCUGGAAAUUGGUAGACAUCUAGCAAUUCCCCAGCCUUUGGUGAGCAAAUCUGCAAUUUGGGAAUGUCUUUGCAAAUAUUGAGGUUGAAUCAGAUGUUGUUUGAUUUUCUCCCCAACAAACUGGGAAUCUAUGUCGAUAUGUCUUAGUCCUCGUGUGAAAAAUAGGAUAGAGGCUAUCUGUAUAGCAGCCAUUUUAUCACAGUAUAAUCUCACUGGAGUAUGAACUGGUACUCCUAAUUGUUGCAACAGACAAACCCCUAUCGAGGGCAGAGAAUGUGAAUGGAGGAGUUGUGAAGGUGGCAACGACAGCAGUGUAAGUAAACAAAGGAGUUGUGAAGGCGAAGGACAAAGCGAAGAGAUUUGCAAAGCAAGUGCAUUACCGAGGAGUACGAAAGUCCAUUGGGGGAAUACACGCAGCGACAAGAGAUACUAGAAAAAGAUGCAAUUUCUUGUUAGGUACAUUUGACACAGUAGAGGUGGUAACAAUGUCACGACACGAACUAGGGCCUGGCCGUGACGGACAUCCCGAACCCUGAGGGCCCGGAACGUCCCUCUCUAUCUGGUAAGCAUGCACACAUUCAUAUAAAUAAAGAAGAUGCGGAAACAUAAUCUUCUACAGAAACAUGGUCAAUUUUGAAUUUAGCAUAAGAAUGAAAAUUGAAAAUCAACUACAUCUAAUAACAUCUGACUCAGUCUGGGAAAUCUCUACUACAUAAAAAUCUGACAACUGUCUGAAAAUUGAGACAAGGCCCCCAGCAGACCAAAACGAUAAUAAGGGACAUAAUCUGAAAGACGGGCCUUCUGGAAUAGAAAAGGCUCACCAACUAAUCACUUCAACUCUGUCUAACGAAUAUACUGCCUUUUUGGUCUAAGCCUCAGAACCUGGAGGGAAGGGGGGGGGGUAAACCGGGGGGGGGGGGGGGGGGGGGGAGGGGGAGUCAAUAUAGAUGUACUGGUAUGCAAAGUAAUCCAAAAUAAAGCUUAUAUGUAAAUAAAAUAGUUUGGAAAACAACUUUGUCAAAACAUUAUACAUCAAGUGGCUUUCGAAAUACAAGGGCGCAUUUCUAAAAAACAUGCAACCUGCCUGUCAAUGCAAGUUCUAAUCUGUAUAUUACUUCUGAGUUAGGUGGCACUCCCCUACAAUACUGAUAUUCCACGGGCGGUAUGGAAUCUGCCAUUGACUCGGUGGGGAAGCACCUAACCCAAGUGUGCCGCAAGGGUUAGAGUUCCUGAAUCAUAUUCGCCACAGGGCUCUAGGCCAGCGUAAUAAAUAAACCCGGAUCGGCAAAUUACGAUUUUGGGCGAUGAGUUGUUUGAUACUCACGCCUUCUUCGGGGAACCACCUAAACUCUCUUUAUUCCUAAUUUUAUCCUGUUCUAAAUCAUGCAUGUUUCUAGUUUCAACAUCUAAAAAGUCUGAUUUCAAACAUACAUUAAAUCUGUUCUCAAUUAUCAUGGCAUAAUCUGAAUUGGUAUCGUCACACCAAGACUUGAAAGUCCUAUUUCUGAGCCAUAAUGCAUCAUGCAUAAUUCUUUCAUUAAAAAACAGUUCAGACCACCUAAACAUGCAAACAAUAUAAAAGAUUUCAUUUUUCGAGAACACAAGUCAAAACUAUGCUGAGAUUGUUCAGAACAUAUGUUGGUCAUGUGCUUUUGGAGAAAUCAUGCACUCUUUCAUUAUAUGAAUAUUUUCAACAUUUAUCAAUAUGCACAACCCUCUCUUUCGAAUUCAAAAUCAUAAAUCAAUUUGUAGCAUAAAUCAAGAUAUUUCAUAUCAUGCUUUUCAAGAUACAUUCAAAACAAUCCAUAUCAUAAGAAAAUUGGGAAAAUCAUACCAAGAGAGGGAUUCAUGUGUGUCGUUCUCAAUUAAUUCAUAAAUCAUAAAAUAUAUACAUACUUAUAUAUAAUUUCAAAUCAAUUUGGGGAAGGUCAAAAGACCAAAAAAAUACCUUCAAGAUUUCUAAAAUAUGAAUGUAUUCAUAAAUCUGAAAACUCCUUUCUUAAAUCAUGAUUUCUAUGCCCAUGAGAUUUUUAGGAAAACCCCGCAUACCUCAAAAUAGGAAAACAAUGGGUGUUUCUUGAAGCCUAUGAUCCGGGGAUUUCGAAUCUUCAAUCGAUUUUGAAAACCCACGGUUGAAUCUUGAGUUUCUUGAAGUUCUUGUUUGAAGCUCUAAAGAGGAUUCUUGAUAAUUUUGAUGAAAGUAGGGUUAAGUUGCUCAAACAUAACCUAAAUCCUUUGUUUGGACGGUUUUAAAGAUUAGGGAAAAAUCAAAAUUACCCUUAAUGACUCCUAAACAGAACUGGAAAUUUGAACUUAAAACCCGAUUUCGGGUGCCACCGCAAUGCGCCACAAUCACGGUGGUCCAAUAGAAUUCGACGAGUGGGAAAUUGAGUGCCUCCGCGAUGCGCCACCAUCGCAGAGCCUCACUGGAAUUUGAUGAUUGUCAAUUUGACCUUCUCUGCGAUGUGCUAGAUACCAAAAUGACGAUGUUUACGACUGGAACUUUAAAUUAUUCAUAACUUCUUCACCGAGGGUCCGUUUUGGACGAAUCUUAUAUCGUUGAAAAGCUAAUUAGGUCUUCCACAUAAAGAAAGGUUGAAAUCUAGGAAAUUCUACAUAAAAAUUAAUUUAGAUCAUUCUAAAAGCUAAUGGUUAGACUUUCCAUAGACAGAAUUUAGCUAAAAAGACGUCAGGGUGUUACAAUAUCCCCCCCUUGGGAUUAUUCGUCCUCGAAUAAUGAUGCGGAAAACAGAAAAGCAUGAUUCCAAGCAUACUAAAGCAUAGAAAGAUUAAGGUGAGGGUUGUACCUUGAAAUCUAUCAUCUACUGGGUCAAAAAGGUGUGGGUAUCUUGCUCUCAUGUCAUCCUCUGAUUCCCUAGUGGCUUCUUCAACUAUCUGAUUUCUCCUCAACACCUUAAUUGAAACUAUUUCUUUACUUCUCAACUUACGAACCUAACGAUCUAGGAUUGGAAUAGGUUCCUCUUCAUAUGAUAAGGAGGCUUUCACCUUGAUCUCUUCUACAGGAAACACCAAAGAAUGGUCUCCAAUGCAUUUCUUCAACAUGGAUAUGUGAUAGACUAGAUGGACAGAACCCAAACUGGAAGGCAAUUCUAAAUCAUAUACAACACCACAUAUUCUCCUCAAAAUCUAAUAUGGUCUUAUAUAGCGAGGACUCAAUUUGUCUUUCUUCCUGGAUCGCAUGACUCCCUUAAUAGGAGAAACUUUUACAAAUACCCAAUCACCGACCUCAAACUCUAAAUCUUUUAUCCUAACAUCAGCAUAAGAUUUCUGAUAACUCUGAGCCGUCUUAAGUCGUUCUCUGAUGACUUUCAUAUCCUGCAUUGCCUGAUAAACAAGAUCGGGCCCAAACAUUUGCAUCUCACCUACUUCAUACCAUCCUAUAGGAGACCUAUAUCUUCUCCCAUACAGUGCUUCAAAUGGUGCCAUCUUAAUACUAGAAUGGAAACUAUUAUUAUAUGCGAACUCUAUCAAGGGUAAGUGCUCUACCCAACUACCUUUAAAAUAAAUCACACAGGCCCUCAACAUGUCCUCAAGGGUCUAAAUGGUGGGUUCGGCCUGCCCAUUAGUUUGAGGGUGAAAACCAGUGCUUAGGUUCACUUGGGUACGUAAUCCUUUCUGGAAAGAUCUCCAAAACUGAGAAGAGAACUGUGUACCUCAAUCGGAUAUGAUGGACACAGACGCACCAUGUAAACAAACUAUUUCUGCAAUGAACAUCUUGGCAUAAUCCUCUCCCGAAUAGUUAGUCCUGACACUCAGAAAAUGGCUAACUUGGUCAGUCUAUCUACAAUCACCCAAAUAAAAUCGUACUGGUUUUGGGACUUCGGGAGCCCUGAAAUGAAGUCCAUAUUAAUCAUCUCCCACUUCCACAAGGGCAAAUCUAUCUCUUGGGAAGAACUACCUAGACUCAUGUGUUCUACUUUAAUUUGUUGAUAAUUCAAACACUUGGAAACAAAGUUAGCCACAUCACGCUUCAUAUUAUUCCACCAAUACAAAAAUUUCAGAUCCUUGUACAUCUUAGUAGAGCCUGGGUGAACAACAUACCUCGAUGUGUGAGCCUCAUCAAGAAUUCUAUUUCGCAAAUCAUCCAUAUCUGGUACACAUAAUCUACCCUGGUAUCUCAAAAUACCAUCACCACCAAUCUCAAAUGACAUCACUUUCUGCUGACCCACAUCAUUCUUAAUUUGCAUCAAGAUGAAAUCUUCAACCUGCUGCAUUUUAACUUCCGCACAAAGGGGAUACGUAACUAUCUCAUGAACAACCAUUCCCUCAUCUUCGGUAUCCAAGAAUCACACUUCUAGAUUUGCAAGCCGGUGAAUAUCUUUUACCAUCUCUCUCUUCCCUUCCUCAACAUGAGAAAGACUGUCCAUAGACAAUCUGCUGAGGGCGUCGGCUACCAUAUUUGCCUUACCCGGAUGAUAGUGAAGGCUCAUGUCAUAGUCUUUCAAAAUGUCAAUCCAACAUCUUUUCCUAAGAUUUAGUUCUUUCUGCGAAAAAACAUACUGUAAACUCUUAUGGUCAGCAAAAAUAUCAAUAUGCACCCCAUAAGGAUAAUGCCACCAAAUUCUAAGUGCAAACACCACAGCUGCUAAUUCAAAAUCAUGAGUGGGGUAGUUCCGCUCAUGCAACUUAAAUUUCCUAGAUGCAUAACCCACCACCUUUCCAUGCUACAUAAGUACACACCCAAGUCCCACACGAGAUGCAUCACAGUACACAACAAAACCCUCUGUACCUUCUGGAAGAGUCAAAACAGGAGUCGUCAUCAACUUGUCUUUCAACUUCUUCAAACUAUUCUCACAAGAGUCUGACCAUAAAAACUUUAGCUUUUUCUGAGUGAACUUAGUAAGUGGAGCAGCUAUAGAAGAGAAACUCUCUACAAACCUUCGGUAAUUCCCUGCCAAACCUAAGAAACUCCAAAUGUCGGUUGGAGUCGUGGGUAUGGGCUAUUUCUUUACUGCCUCAAUCUUUUGGGGAUCAAGAUUAAUCCCUUCACUAGACACAAUGUGCCCCAAGAAAGCAAUAGCAUUCAUCCAAAAUUCACACUUGGAGAAUUUCGCAUACAACUUAUGAUCUUUAAGGGUUUGAAGAACAGUGUGGAGAUGAUUUGCAUGGUCCUCCUCACUUUUAGAGUAAACCAAGAUGUCAAUAAUAGAAACUAUAACAAACAGGUGUAGGAACUGACGGAAGACGCUAUUAAUUAGGUCCAUGAAAGUUGCACGGGCAUUGGUCAACCCAAAGGACAUGACUAAGAAUUCAUAAUCACCAUAUCUGGUUUAGAAAGAUGUUUUAGGAAUUUCUGACUCCCUAACUUUCAACUGAUGAUAUCUCGAACAAAGGUCUAUUUUUAAAAAACACUUAGCACCCUGAAGCUGAUAAAAAAGGUCAUCAAUUCUAGGAAGAGAAUAUUUAUUUUUCACUGUCACCUUAUUCAACUGGCGGUAAUAUAUGCACAUACGCAGGGAACUAUCUUUCUUUCGCAUGAAGAGUACAGGUGCACCCCAAAGAGAAACACUAGGUCUGAUAAAACCCUUAUCUAGGAGAUCUGCUAGCUGUUCUUUCAACUCUUUUAACUCUGCAGGAGCCAUUCUAUAUGGCAGAAUAGAAAUAGGAUGGGUAUCUGGCAAUGCAUCAAUGCGAAAAUAUAUCCCCUUAUCGGGUGAAAUUUCUGGGAGAUCAUCUAGAAAAACUUCUAGGAAUUUAUUUACUACUGGGAUAGACUGAAGGGGGAGACUUUCGGCAUUAGAAUCUUUAACUUGAAUAAGAUGGUACAAGCAACCCUUGCAAAUAAGUUUACGAGCUUUGAGAUAAGAUAUGAAGUGCCCUCUAUGUUCUAAGGAAUACCCCUCCCACUCUAUUGCUGGCUCAUUCGGAAAAGAAAAGGUAACCUUUUGGAUCCUAUAGUCUAGUGUGUCAUAACACUGAUGGAGCCAGUCCAUCCCUAGGAUAGCAUCAAAAGCAACCAUAUCAAGUUCUAUGAGGUCUGCUACAGUAUCCCUACUAAUAAUAUACACAACACAUGUUUUGUACACUCUUCUUGCCACAAGCGAAUCUCCCACCGGAGUGGAAAUAGAGAAAGGUUCAGCAAUCACAUCGGGGUCAAACCCAAAACCAACAGCCACUUACGGGGUCACAUAAGAUAAGGUAGACCUGGGAUCAAGCAAUACAUAUACCUCACGGGAAAAGAUUUAUAACGUACCAGUGACUAUGUCUGGUGAGGCUUCCGCUUCCUGGAGAUUAGUUAGAGCAUACAGCCGGUUGUGACCACUCCCAGCAGUUGAAUUGGUGCCCUUUUGAGGUGGUGGUGGUGCAGAAGAGUUUUCCUGAGACAUAGCCCUACCAAUAUUCCUCCUAGCAGAGGGAAAUUCUCUCUUGAAAUGGUCCGCUGACCGCAUGAAUAACACACUGACAAGCCCAACUGACACCUUCCCGGAUGAUGCCUACUACAAGUGUCACAUCAUGGAUAAGAAUGGUACUGCUGAGUCACACUACCUUGCGACUGAGUAUCUUGAGCUCUGGGUCACUGGCUGGCCUGAAAACUCUGAGAUCGUCUAUCAACUGGAGGUCUGGGUGCUGGGGCGCUAGCUGCAAACUGCGCCUUGCCCCAAAACUUCUUCUUUUGCCAUUUGUUACCCCAAUUACCACCCUGAUGCUGACUGGAGUUCUGAUUCACUGAUCUGGCUCUCUUCGCCUGCCUGUCCUUCUCUCUAGACUCGGCUAUCUUCUACUUUUUCUCCUCAACCUGCUGCAUGUGGACUGUCAGCCUAGCAAAAUCCAAUUUCCUAUUUAGCAUUUCCCCUUGUCAUUCAAGCACCAGAUUAUCCAAAAGGCUGAAAGCAAACUUCCUCAUUUGGGCUCUCAUACUGCUCGUUAUCUCUGGAGUAUAACGGGCCAGCUGAUUAAACUUUAAAGUAUAUUCCUGAACACUCAUCUUACCCUUCUUAAUGUUCAUGAACUCCUCCACUUUGGCUUCCCUCAACUCUAGAGGAAAGAACUGGUCAAGAAAAGCUUCCACAAACUCGUCCCACACUGUGGGCUCAGCACUGUCACCCUUUGCCUUUUCCCACUCAUUAUACUAUUGGUUCGCUACAUCCUUGAGCUGGUAUACCGCUAGCUCAACACUUUCCACCUGAUCCACAUGCAUCACUCUAAAAAUCUUCUCUAUUUCAUCUAUGAAUUCUUACGGAUCCUCUUCUACCUUAGUGCCAGUAAACUUAGGUGGGUAUAUUCUCAUAAACUGAAAUACCCUAGUAGCUUCAGAUAUAACAGGUGCAGACCCAACAUCUUUUGAUCGUUGGGCCUGAUUAGCCACCAAAUGUGUCAGCACAUAAAUAGAUUGUCUUAAUUCUGCAUUUGAAAUAUCCCUCUGAGUAGUCGGGGGACGGUUAACAUUAGUCCGAGGAGCCCUAGGUGUUUUGGUUGGGACUGGACGGACUCCCGGAGUAGGGAAACGUUCUGCAGUGUAAGCUCUAUUAUGUGUCCUCAUCCCAUGAAUUGGACGGACUUCGUCCUCUUGAGAAUUAAUGUUGGUGCGAUAUGGAGGCAUAACUAGUUUUUCUUAAAAGCAAGAGAUCAUUGAUUAGGGGAUAGAUUACACUCUAAAUCACGAACUAAAUCGCAAAGAAGAUAAACAUUCCUAAACUCCUAGUAGCCUCCUGCUUAUAAAUAUGGGGCGCUACACACUCAUAAACAAGACUCUACCCAAUGCAAUAUCGCAGACAGCCUAGGACCAUGAACCGUGCUCUGAUACCAAGUUUAUCACGAUCCAAACUAGGGCCUGGCCGUGAUGGACAUCUAAAACCAUGAGGGCCCGGAACAUCCCUCUCUAUCUGGAAAGCAUGUACACAUUCAUAUAAAUAAAGAAGAUGUGGAAACAUAAUCUUCUACGGAAACAUGGUCAAUUCUGAAUUCAGCGUAAGUAUGAAAAUUGAAAAUCGACUACAUCUAAUAACAUCUGACUCAGUCUGGGAAAUCUUUACUAUAGGAAAAUCUGACAACUGUCUGAAAACUGGGACAAGGCCUCCAGUAGACCAAAAUGAUAAUAAGGGACAUAAUCUAAAAGAUGGGCCUUCUGGAAUAAAAAAGGCUCACCAACUAAUCACUACAACUCUGUCUGACGAAUCUACUGCCUUUCUGGACCUCUAGACUGAGCCUCAGAACCUGUAGGGAGGAUGGGGGUCAAUACAGAUGUACUGGUAUGCAAAGCAAUCCAAAAUAAAGCUUAUAUGUAAAUAAAAUAGUUUGGAAACAACUUUGUCAAAACAUUAUACAUCAAGUCGCUUUCGAAACACAUGGGCGCCUUUGUAAAAAAGAUGUAACCUGCCUGUCAAUGCAAGUUCUGAUUUGUAUAUUACUUCUGAGUUAGGUGGAACUCCCCUACAAUUCUGAUAUUCCACGGACGGUAUGGAAUCUGCCAUUUACUCGGUGGAGAAACCCCAACGCAAGUGUGUCGCAAGGGUUGGAGUUCCUGAAUCUGAUACGCCACAAAGCUCUAGGCCAGCGUAAUAAAUGAACCUGGAUCAGCAAAUCAUGAUUUUGGGUGAUGAGUUGUUUCAUACUCACACCUUUUUCGGGGAACCAUCUAAACUCUGUUUAUGCCCAAUUUUAUUCUGUUCUAAAUCAUGCAUGUUUCUAGUUUCAACAUCUGGAAAGUCUGAUUUGAAACAUGCAUUAAAUCUGUUCUCAAUUAUCAUGGCAUAAUCUGAAUUGGUGUUGUCACACCAAGACUUGCAAGUUCUAUUUCUGAGCCAUAAUGCAUCAUGCAUAAUUCUUUCAUUAAAACAUAGUUCAGACCACCCAAACAUGCAAACAAUAUAAAAGGUUUCAUGUUCCGAAAACACAAGUUAAAACUAUGCUGAGAUUGUUCAAACAUAUGGUGGUCAUGUGCUUUUGGCAAAAUCAUGCACUCUUUCAUUAUAUGAAUAUUUUCAACAUUUAUCAAUAUGCACAACCUUUUCUUUCGAAUUCAAAACCAUCAAUCCAUUUGUAGCAUUAAUCAAGAUAUUUCAUAUCAUGUUUUUCAAGAUACAUUCAAAACAAUCCAUAUCAUAAGAAAAUUGGGAAAAUCAUACCAAGAGAGGGUUUCAUGGCGUCAUGCUCUCAAUUCAUUCAUAAAUCAUAAAACAUAUGCAUACAUAUUUAUAAUUUUAAAUCAAUUUAGGGAAGGUCAAAAGACCAAAACAAUACCGUCAAGAUUUCUAAAAUAUGAAUGUAUUCAUAAAUCUGAAAACCCCUUUCUUAAAAUCAUGAUUUCUAUGCCCAUGAGAUUUUUAGGAAACCCCUGCAUACCUAAAAAUAGGAAAAAAGUGGGUGUUUCUUGAAGCCUAUGAUCCGGGGAUUUAGAAUCUUCAAUCGAUUUUGAAAACCAACGGUUGAAUCUUGAGUUUCUUGAAGUUCUUGUUUGAAGCUUUAGAGAGGAUUCUUGAUGAUUUUGAUGAAAGUAGGGUUAAGUUGCUCAAACAUACCCUAAAUCCUUUGUUUAGAUGGUUUUAAAGGAUAGAGAAAAUUCAAAAUUACCCUUAAUGACUCCUAAAAGGAACUGAAAAUUUGAACUUAAAAACCCGAUUUCGGGUGCCACCAUGACGCGCCACAAUCGCAGUGGUCCACUGGAAUUCGACGAGUGGGAAAUUGAGUGCCUACGCGAUGCGUCACCAUCGUAGAUCCCCGCUGGAAUUUUAUGAUUUCAAUUUGACCCUCUCCGCGACACGCUAAACAGAAAAAUGACGAUAUUUACGACUGGAACUUUAAAUUAUUCAUAACUUCUUCACCGAGGGUCCGUUUUGGACGAAUCUUAUAUCGUUGGAAAGCGAAUUUAGUCCUCUACAUAAUGAAAGAUUGAUAUCUAGGAAAUUUCACAUGAAAAUUAAUUUAGAUCAUUAUAAAAGCUUAUUCUUAGACUUUGCAUGGACAAAAUUUAGUUAAGAAGACGUCGGGGUGUUACAAACAAGCAUAUGAUACGACGGAAAUUGAGUUCCGCAGUAUGAAAGCCAAGACAAAUUUUCUGAUUUUGAUGGAAGAAAUGAAUCAGACUCCUUGUUAGGUCAGUACUCUAUAGUCAUCGAAUAUGGUGGUUGUGGUGGCGAUUCAACCAUCACUGGUGCCUUUGCCUCCAUCUUUACUGCCACCAUAUUCACCACAUUUGAUGACUCAACUAUAUUGAUCCAACCGUGACUCCGAUUCAUUUCGUCCAUCGGAAUUGGAAAAUUCAUCUUGACUUUCAUUUCCUCUGCCGUGUCAAACAUAUAUUGGAUCUUUUCCUUGGAUCUCUUUUCUGCCAUGUAUGUAAUUCCCCGACGGCCUUUUCCGUACUCCUCGAUAAUGCACCUCGGACGCAACUCCCUUCAUUUUCUCCACCACCUUUGCAACUCCUCCAUUCACUUUCACCACCCUCGCUGCCACCUUCGCAACUCCUCCAUUCACUUUCUUUGUCCUCAUCUCCGCCUUCGUACAAUUUUGCUUCUUCGACGCAAUUUUCACAACUGAUAACGAUGAGAGAGAACGUAGGGGGGAAGAGUUGCUUAAAUAGAAAAGUGGUUGGAGAAGCAAACAAAAGCAUAGUAAGGGAAGGUGAGUUUGACUUGACUCAUGUAAUUCGGAGCCACAUUUGACAUGACAUUUUUUUUUUCUGAAUGUCUGCAAGGGUAUUUGUCUGUAUUUUAUUUCCUAAUGCCACGUGCACAUUUCACAAAAAGGAAAAAAGAAAAGGUUAAUAAAUGAUAAAUGCUAUAUUUUCUUUUUUAUUUUUCAAAAUCCACUAGGCAAGGUGCCUAGGUUCUUUUUAUAAAUUUUUCCAAAUCAAAAGUCAUUACAAAUGUAGCCAAAGCUUUAAAAUAAAGUAAAAAAUAAGCUAAUGACCAAAAUUAGACUUAUACAAUGUCUUAAUCUAGUUCUACAAUAUGAGUGAAUAUAAAAAGCUAAACUUGCUAAAGAUGUACUAAAAAUUGCAAAACUAAUAUUUGAGUGAUGUAUUAUCCAUGAACUGAAUUUCCAUCUUGCCUUAGCUAACUUUAAUGUUCCUUGACAGUGUUGUUUUGAAGACACACGGCAUUGGUGCUUGUUGGAAGCUCCUUGGCAGUGUUGUUUUGAAGCCUCACGACAUUGACGCUUGUUGAUUUCUUCAGUCCCUUGCGGCUGUUUCUCCCAUGUUAGAAUCACAUCUUCUGUCAUCAUCUUUUGAUCUUCAAUGCAUUUAGCAAAACCACCUGGGCAGUGACAAGUAUAUUUGCUGAAAUAUGAACCAAGUAUAGACCAAAAUAGUCUACAAAAAUGUAUCCCAAGUUUGUAACUCUUUGUGCGCAAAUGUGUUGAUGCAUCUUGUCUUAUGUCAUUUGAAUAAGUCUUGAGCAGCUCCACUUGCAAGAUAAAAAUUCUCAUGUACCAAUUUAUCGAUUUUGUUUAUAUCAAAUCAU
rnacentral:lncRNA from 1 species